UUCUGCAAGCACAUGAUCAUCAUGGUUAAUGUUUAGUGUGAUAAUCAUGCAUCUUCCUGAUGGGCAGGUGGCGAUAGAUCCGGAAACUAGGUCUCGUGGAUGGAACAGAUCAAUAAUCAACCAACUCAUUAAACUGUACAAGGAACACUUGGACGGUAGGCUGCCUGUCUAUGAUGGAAGGAAGAGCAUGUAUACCGCUGGUGCACUGCCAUUCAAGAACAAAGUAUUCGUCGUGAAACUUGCUAAUACCGCAAAAGGGAAUCAACGGUACCACGAAAACAUUUCAGCUUUCCUUUUGGUAAUAAAUCUUCUUGUUCAUGUAAUGAUUUUUAGAGUACUGGUUCUUGUCUUUUAGCGAGGAGGAAUGCGAGGUGACUGUAAAGCUUGCUUCAAAUCUGGAUAUGUACAGCCUUCGACAGUUUUUGGCUGGUAGAAACAGAGAGUUGCCGCAAGACACAAUCCAAGCUCUCUAUAUCGCCUUGAGGGAGUGCCCAACAGCAAAGUAAUCCAUUUAACGUUCUUGAUGUGGAGCAAAAAAGUUCAUAGUCUGAGUUCCCCUGUUUUCUUUCCAUAUAUUUGUAAUUCCAAAUUUUCUUUGUCUUAUUUAAAUUGAAACAGGUAUGUAUCGAUCUCUAGAUCGUUCUUCUCUUAGUCAUUUGGACAUGGUGGCGCAAUUGGCAACGGUGUUGAAUGCUGGAGGGGUUAUUACCAAAGCCUUCGCCUCACACAGAUGGGUUUGUCACUAAAUAUCGGUGCGGUUGUACCUAAAUGUGGUCUCCUGACCUGAAAACUCCCGUGUUCCACUGUUUUUAGACUCCUAUAAAAGGUUACUGAUCUAUGGUGAGUUUGGGUAAAAGGUUAUACUGUCUUUGUCUUUAUAACACUGAAAAGAAAUUCCACAAUUACAUUUGCCAAUUUAAUAGAAUUCGUUUGAGCUCAACAAGGAGGAAUGCCCCCCGGGGAGUGUUGAUAUUGAGCUAGGUUUGCAAGGCGAUGUAUCAGGUACCGCACAUCCAGGUUUGGAUGGCUUCUUCGAACAGGUGCAUCCUUUUCCUUUUCUGUAUUUUCGAGUCUCUUUCCGUGUGAACAUAGCCGGUAGAAUUCAUGUGGCAUGAUUUUCUUCUUGUGAGUUGAACUCUGUGUUAUUAUGACAUACAGGUCAGGGAGAUUGAGAAGUUGCUUGAGACGUUGGCAAAACUACUCAAGGAUCUUCAGAACUCAAAUGAGGAAUCAAAAGUUGUCACUAAGGCAUCAACUAUGAAUGGUACCAUGUGAAAUUUUCAUUGUUUUCUUCAAACAUGACAGGGCAAACAUUUUAUUCCCUUUAUCCACUUUUUUCCAAUAUGUUCCUUUUUACCGAAUUACUGAUAUCAAAAGGCGCAUGGAGAAGGAUGUUAACAAAGUGACAAAGGUUGCACGGCUCACAAAAUCAAAACUACAGCAAUUGAAUAAAGAAGUGAGUUAAUUUGCGCCAUUGUAACUUGCAAGAUGCAUAUGCUUUAACAGUGAUAGUAGAUGACAACACGUUUGAGUUCUAAGGAUCUUCACUUUUAUUUGUCAUUGACUCAAUGGAGACAUGUCUCUACCGGCACAAGUUUAUGAGGUUUACUUCCUGUAGGGAUUAAAUAUUUAUUUCUCUGCAAGCUUUUUUUUGUAUUUCCACAAAAGUCAUCUCUAGAUCAACUAUCUAUGUGGCUAUAUUUAUAUGUAGUCGUGGGUAAUCUUAAUCAUUUUCCUUUGUUGACAUUACUCUCUUGUAAAUUUCUUCAGAUAUGUUGCCCAUAAUUCAAGCUUUGUAGAAGGCCAAAUCUUUCUAUAUGGCCUCACCAAACUUUAUUAUUCUGUAUUGAACAUUGCAGGUGAGGAUGAAAGCUUAUUCGGUAGACUAUUUGGUACAAAAUGUGUUCGGCCUUGCUGUGAGAAUCACAGAGAGACAAUCAUCACUAGGAUCAGUGCUCCUCGAUCCGCCACCACCCCCAAACACCUCUGCCUGCAGCCGCUGCCCUCCUCUUCCGCCUCUUUCGCCUCAUGGUCGCGGGAAACGCCCGUCUUCGUCGCGCCUCCUCGAUCCGCACGGACAGGCGCGUGCUCCGGCAGCGAGUGGAGGGGCUGCGUCGCGGUGGUGGGGAGCAACAGGUCCGUGCCCAUGACUGGACCAACGGGGCCGAGGGCGGGGGCAGCGGCGGCAGGUAUUGAUUCUUGGGGUCGUCAGGGAUGGUGUGAUUGAAGAAGGAGAAGAUGGUGGAGGGAGGAAGGGAAGAGGAGGGGGAGGCUGCGAGCCUGCGAUGGGAGACGUUGGUGAUGCCCACUUGACGUUGGUCUCCUUCUCAACGUUGGUAAGAACCCUUGAUUGAUGCAGAUCUUAAGUUUGUUUUAUGUGGCUGCUGGUUUAUAAUCUGGGCAGUGCAAAUUAUUUUUGGUUGGCGAUGACAUCCCUAUGCUCCUUAUCUUACUCGUCACCAUUGCUGUUGAUUAUUUCUCUUUUUGUUCUUUUCUGUUAUCUAAUAUAAGGAGUAAUAGAUAUUCUGAACAUCCAAAGGACAAAGGAGAAUACCAUCCCUGAUUAAACAUUGGUUUUGUUUGAGAUAUAAUGUUUCUAUCUGAAUGUUGUUCCAUACAACUAAUCAUUAUUUUAGUUUGGGAGAUUAAACCCAAAUUAAUUUAUGCAAUGAAUUAGAAAUAUCACGAUGCACAUUAAUUGUCUACUUAAAUUCCAUAAAUAGAGACUGAAGUUGCUGUAGGAGGCGGCGACUGUCACUUUAGAGCACGAUGGCAGUACACGGUGCAGCGCACGUGUAGCACCUUUGGUUCUUGGUGUGAAUUAUGGAGAUGGUGCCCCAGCGACGCGUGUAGGACACGGGAGAUGAGCAUGGCAUUCUCAAGUGGCAGCUCCGGGUCUUUGGCAGCACCAUGAUCAGCAAGGUGGUCUUCUCAUACUCAUAUGUCUGUAUGAUUCUGCACUUCAUGCCAUCAGCACCAACUUUCUUUCAUGCAAUGGUCUGGGUUGGUUUAUAAUGUCCAAGGUUUAUAAUGUAAUCCUUUUCCCUGGCCAUGGUCGGGAGUUCAUAAUGUAAUCCUUUUCUUAUCCUUCCACACCAUGCAGCUUGGACAGGCAUUGAGCACGCGCCCUGAUAUAUUGCCCAUCGCAUAUUUGUCAAGAGCUCUCAAAGCUGCAGGUAUCAUCUCAUCGUGCAUUACAUAGUUUCACUUGAUCGACAACCAAGCGUUUAAGAAUAUAAUCUUUUUGCACUGGAAUGACAAGGUCAGGGAUUAGAGAUGGAGAUAAGGUUCUGGAAUCAAGGCAUCAAUAUAUGGCCACUGAAAAGUUUUGAUCCUAAAAUGACAAUAGCCCAAUGAGAUUUUCUAUAAUUAACAUCACUAAAUUCGGAAUCUGAAAGCUAAGAACUUGUUGUACGGUGUACUAUAUUUUAUUCUUCUUUCUUUUAUCUAUUGAUGAUUUCAUUUCACUGUGUUUGCUGACAACAAUCUCAUUAGGAUCAAAUACCACCAUUUCCUACUCGUAAUGCAAUCAGGACCAUCGAAUAUGAACUGGGCUCCCGAAUGUCUGAUCUAUUUGCUGAUAUCAGUCCAGAGCCAAUUGCAGCAGCAUCACUGGGGCAAGUAUACAAAGCUCGUCUACACUCUGGAGAGCUUGUCGCAAUCAAAGUUCAGAGGCCUGGAAUGGCACCCUUGCUCCCUCGAUGCACUUCUAUUCAAUAUGAUUGGAGGACAGCUAAAACGAUUUGCUAAGGCCCGCAAAGAUUUAUUGGUAGAUGUUAAUGAAAUUGUAUUUUCUUCAUUCUUAUCUUCACUGAUUAUUAUAAUUUUGUCCAAGUUGUUUUUUCAGAUUACUUUCACACAUAUUAAAUAUAGUGUUUGUCUCGCUAUGGAUUCCGCCCACUUCAAUGUGUUGUAUAAAAUUCAGUGCUUUAUAUUGUUUCUCACUUUGAAUUCUGUCACUUCAAUAUGACGGAUAAAAUUCACAUAUGUUUUUUCUCAGAACACAUUUAUGGUGGAUUGUCUUUGGAUUAUCUGUAUAAUUCUAGGAACUGGAAAAUUGUAGAACUUUUAGGAUUAUAUUAUAUAUUUUCUCCCUUAAGCAUAAUGUAAUCCGAUUAGUUUAUGAUAGAAUAAUCUGAUUAUAUUAUGAUAGAAUAAUACACUUGUACAGUUAAAAUGCUUUGUUUGGAUACCGAUUAGUAACAAUACACUGACAAAAUGAAAAUGAAAAUGCUUUGUCGCCUGUUUGCAAGCAGGAAAAUAGUUCACACACAGAGAUUCUUUCUGGCAAUCCGCACUUAGUAUGUCAUUUUGGUUGCUGAAUAUGAUACUCGUAGCCCAUCAAAAAAUGAGAGAUACAAAAUAAAUAUUAUUUUAAAUCAAUAAAUAUAGUAUAUUUGUAGAAGCACAAGAUCCAAAAUGACAGUAAGAAGAGAC